GUGAGGAAUAUUGCGCAAUGGAGGCAACUCUGACGCAGCCAUGCCGCGUGCAGGAAGAAGGCGCUACGCGUUGUAAACUGCUUUUAACCGGGAAGAAACCCCAGGACGUGUCCUGGGUUGACGGUACCAGAGGAAUAAGCACCGGCUAACUUCGUGCCAGCAGCCGCGGGAAUACGAAGGGUGCAAGCGUUAUCCGGCUUCAUUGGGUUUAAAGGGUGCGUAGGCGGAGCGUUAAGUCAGUGGUGAAAUCCUGCAGCUUAACUGUAGACUUGCCAUUGAUACUGGCGCUCUUGAGUGCGCUUGAAGUGGGCGGAAUGUGCCGUGUAGCGGUGAAAUGCUUAGAUAUGGCACAGAACACCAAUUGCGAAGGCAGCUCACUAAGGCGAUACUGACGCUGAGGCACGAAAGCGUGGGGAUCGAACAGGAUUAGAAACCCGGGUAGUCC
rnacentral:rRNA from 1 species